ACCAUCUGCUUUUGCAUGGAGGCCUCUGGAAGGCAGGAAUCAUGUCUGUUUACUUUGCAUAAUGCUGAGCAUAGAGCUGUGUACACGAAGCUUUCUUUUUAUUUGAUGACAAUGAUUUCCUUUAUGCAUUUCUUUCCUUUCCUGUCUUCAGAUUGACCAGAUCUGCUGAUAACUAUUAAUCCAGUAGAAUUACAGAGAGGUGGAAUUCACUGCCGACUGCCUGGCCAGGCCGGGCAGCAGAAGGUCUCACACAGCUCUCUGAGGUCUCAUGCCACUGCAAAGAGGUGAAAUAGCUGUCUGGAGUGAUUCUCACUAAAUGUUAAUACUGAAUAUUUCUCAAUGCCAUCCUGGGUGGCAGCUGUUCUGUGUGAAUGCCCACAAACAUUCUCAAUGUAAGAAUUUGUCCUGAUUAUAACUCCUUAAGUGCUGGUACAGAUGGAAGUUGGUAACCUUUCUGGGCAGCCAGUUGGCAGAAUAAUUACAAAUUCUUUUGAAAACGUGCAUAACUUUUUGCUCCAAGGAACAGAACUGAACAAGUGUUCAAAGAUGAAGAAACCAAGGAACAGAGAAAUAAAGUAACUUGUCUAAGGCCUUAAAUUCAGAGGUGGCAAAGUAAGAAUUUGUAUCCAGGCAUUUGAUCCAGAGCCUACAUUCUGAAACCCUCAACCUGACUGUAAAAACUGUCUUCAGGUUUUACAUGGGAUAACCAUCACAGGAAAUUUUGGAUUUCAACAGAGCUCUGUUCUGAAUAACGAUGCUGCUGGGGAAGCGGGCGUUCACAGGCUUCAUCUGGUAACAGAAGCCCAACGGCAGGCCCUUGGUCAUGUUCAGUACGUGACUGCAGAUAGCGUGAACCAUAGCCAGUCGUUUCUACUCCCCACCACUUGCCAGCCUGGAGCCUCCUUCAAGGAGACUGAGUUCUACGUUGAUGUGACUAAAGCCCCUCCUCAGGGUUCCUCUGGGACCCUUCACAACUGUGGUCGCUUCAUUUUCUGAGAUUCCACAGCCUGAUUGUUGAGAAUGGUAUCUUCACAGUAGAUGCAGCAAAAAGAGGGACUUCAUCAGUUCUCUUGCACCACACCUGGCAGUGCCAACCCCCCACUUCUGUGUAUAUGAGGGGAACCGCUAUAACUCUCCAGAACCUUGUGAAAAAAACAAGACUCAAAGCAUGUCUGUAUUUGGAUUUGUCUGA